ensembl:lncRNA
CAAACACAGGAGAACCGCGGUUGCCAGGAGGCUACUUACGUAUCUGUGGAGUCCUGCGGUGGGUGUCGGGUACGCGCAUAUAACGUGAACGCGCGCGGCGCGCGGCAUCGUGUGUGCAGGAGUCUACUCGGGACGUGCGGUCUUCUCCCGAGUCUGUGUGUGCGAGCUCAUCUGAGACCUCAUCCCCCGUUUACUGCGAGACGACGCGGCUCAUACGAUUCAUUAUGGGAAACCGGUUUGGAAAAGAGCGAGAAACUAACAAUGCUGAGACUGCUGAAGAAGCAAAGACUGCAGAGGAGUCAGAAGCUGGACAACCAGCGGAGGACUCUGGGAUAACUCAAACUCAAACUCAGGAUCUAGAUGUCCAGAUUCUGGGGCAGGUGGCGCAAGUGGCGCGUUCCAUCACUGAAAAAUUGGUGUUGAACAGUGGAGUGGAGGAGGAUGCUGAGCCCGUGGCGAAGGAAACACCAGCUCCAGUCCAAUCCGAGCCUCUGGUCUCACUUGGCAAAUCAUCAGCUCCAGAUUUAGAACCUGUUGCUGAAGCUCCGCUGGCUACAGAGCCAGUUCCUGAACCACUGCCCGCACCAGAGCCAGUUUCCACACCAGAGCCAGUUCCAGAACCAGAUCCAGUUGCCGAACCACUGCCUGAACCAGAGCCAGUCUCCAAAACGGUUCCAGUUCCUGAACCAGAGGCAGAAGUUGAGGUAGUCUCUGAACCCAUUUCAGAGUUGGUGCCGGCGGGAGCUGAGGCCGCAGAGCUGAAGACGGACCUCCUCAGCCAAGAGUCUCUCCCCGAGCCACAGAUUUCUUCUCCAGCACCUUUGAUCAACCCAUGCGCCCCCGAAGAAGAUGCCCGACCCGUUGACAUUCCUCCCGCCCCAGCUCCGGUCGAAGCGAAGGAGCCGGCAGACAACCCGGCGACCGAGGAAUUCCAAAACAGCGCUGAGGUCUCGGCCAUUCCCACGUUUGAGCCUGAAAACGGCGAGGAGGCGUCCGAGUCAGGGGAAAAGGCGAUGGAGGGGAAGGGUGGAGUGCAUUUGGAGCAGCAUGUGUGUGACGUCAGCGACGAGGGUCUCAGUGGACUGCUGAAGAACUUGGAGCUGAAAGGAAACGACCUUGUCGCUGACCUCAUUCCGGCCGACGUCCAGAUUCCCGACGACGUGAGCACUUCCACCGAGCUGAUGUGAAGGUGCGGCAGUGAAAGGAUGUUAUAUCUGUGAAGCCCUCGUAACCCCUAACGUGAAUUCCAAAAGAAGCUGGGAUGCAAUGUUUCUUUCUCUCUCACCUAAGUGGCCUAAUAAAGGCAAAAAUGUCUCUAUCUAAAUGAACGUGUGCCAAAAAAAGGUGUAUUGUCUGGGCUUUAUUAUGAGUGUACUUGUGUGUAUUGCUGGACAACAGAGAUCUUCCUCUAUGCAAAUGCACCAGGCAAGAAUUUUAACCAAAUUUCUUUAAGAGAAAAGAAGCCAUUGCUAUACGAUAACGCGGCAUAGAGAAAGCUGGAAGGGAAUCAUUUUGAUGUUCCUGAGUACAAAGGGAAAAGCAGAAGUGUCCUGAGGUAUGUCAGUCAGCAUCGGCAGGUAAAUCCAAAUCCAUAGGCAAGGGAUAGUAGCAAUGAAAAAGACAUUAUACUGUAUGCUAUUGAAAUACGAGUGUCUAGUGAACUAUUACGCCUUCACAUAAUCAUCUUUGAGCUUUUUGAAAUUCUGUGUCUUUCUUGUAUUCUAAUUUAACAAUGGGAAUUUUCUUUUUUUUUAACCUAAGUAGUGGCUUGCUUGUAAAAAUAAAAAUAUUAUUAUACAUAUGUUAUGUCCAUCGUCACUUGAUUUGACUUUUUAACUAAGGAACCUGUGUUAAAGAUUACGGGGAACCAGUAAAAUUAAAGGCGUGUUGGUAUUUAACAUUCCCAAUAAAGAGCGGAUGGAUCUGCUAAACGCACACGCUGUAACAAUUGCUUUGUAACACGGCACACGGGGGCACGGCAUACAUUUUGGAAAUCAAAUUCCAUCCCUGCACAGAUCAGAACACGUUCUGGAGAUGGUGCCUCCUCGGUCUCGUGACAGGACGAGAGGAGGCGGGGUCAGAGGGGUGCAGAGCCACAUUCUUUCCAGAGGAAGGAGUUUUUUUCGGGUGGCUGGGGGUCAAAGGUCUUCAGUGUGACUGUUUCAGUCCAUGAGAAAUCUGCUCCUCGCAUGCCUCUCCCCCCCCUCCGGCCCUCCGUCCCCUCUCCCCCUCUCUGCCCUCACGGCGUAUAAUUCCAACUGCUGGAGCGAGCAGUCAGUGGAUUGGUAUGAGAGCUCACUUCAGCCUCAAAAAGAAACUUUUUACUUUGGCAAUUUGACCAAAUGAAGGAAAGACUUCAAGAUGCACUACAUGGAGCUGCUCCAUUUAAAAAGGACACAAGAGACCAUCCUUGCGCAUCAAUGCUCCAAUUCAGUUUUGUAAUAUGUUUUUAUCCCAACCACACCUCCCUUUUACAGCCUACGCCUCGGGGCAUGGCAUGUGGGUAAGUCCCAUGGUUUUAGCAACACAUGUCCCCAUGGGAGAGGGAGAGGCACUCCUCAGACGGUGAUCUCAGUCAAGCCAGCCUGCAGCAGGACAGUUUGUGGAUGACCCGGUUUGCUGAUUCACACUGAGAACAGACACACGGCCCGAUCUGGGCGGUUCGGGAUUCCUGUCCUACCGGAGGCUUUCAUCUCAGUAAAUAAAGGAGUCCUGAG